rnacentral:sRNA from 12 species
AGCCUAACCCUUUCAAUUUUGAAGGUAUGGUUAAAAACCACGUGAAUAAAGACGGUCUCAUGAUCGGUACUAUUCACGUGGUCUAUUAGGGAAACCUUAUAGGAUGCUCGCAAGAGUGUC